rnacentral:tRNA from 1 species
GGCCGUGUGGCUAAUGUCACCAAGCAUUAAGUUGCAAUGUGCUGAGGAGCGCGGGUUCGAUUCCCGCCGCAGCUG